UGUUUGGACUAUUUUAGACCAGUCUGGUAGGAACCGCUGCGGAGUAGCACAAAUACCUGCGUGAUUCGUCAUAGACAUAAACAGAGAAGUAGCUCCGGCUACAAUGUUCUUCCGCAAGAUGCAUGCCGUUCUGUUUAACCGUUAGAGCGCCAAAAGUUAUGGACAUGUUUAUAUAUUAUAUGUUGUGUUUGUGAAUGAAGGAGAUUUAUUGGAUGGGGCACGCGCGAGACAAAUUCGAAAUUUUAAAUGAGCAAGUCUAACGGACUUUCGGAGAAUCUUGAGUACUGCGCAUGCGCAUCAUUUUGUUCUGUAACGGUCGACUUCCAGCAGACGGACACGGAGUAAAAGCAGCUGGAGGAGAGACAGCCUGUGCAGCAACAACAAGACAACAAUGAUUAUAAGCAGGGAUAAUCUCCAGGUGGACUGCAUGGGUCCAGGAUCAAGAGAUCAUUCAUCAUGCAGACCAUGUUCCAGGAGAAGCAGCGUAUACUGGGUCUGCUUGAUCAUUUUGUUGUCCUGGAUGUGAGAACAUGGUCAAAAGAUGUGUCAAUCAGCAUCCAGCCAUAAAAGCAGCCUUCUCGUUAAAGGCUGCCAGAGGAGGAUGAUGAUGGCAGUGGUGACCGAGGUGACUGUGCAGCUCAGGAUGAAGAAGAGGAGGAACAUCUUCCAGUUUGCAAAAAUCCAAAGUGAAUAUAUAGAGACCAUCCUCCUAUCCUUGCCUCAGAAGAACCUGAGAAAGACCCUCUUCCUCUUCUCUCACAGCUCUCCAUCAUCUACCUCUACAACACUGUUGGCAAGAGUGUUAUACACAGCUGAGGACACGGUAAUGAGAGAUCUCAAAUUCUUCCUCAAAGUCUGCAUGUUCAUUUUCUUGAACAAAAACUGUACAUGUAUUUUUGGGUGGGCCAAACUAUUAUUUGAAGAAAUGCUAAAAAUCUCUAUAUUGUUCUUUAUACAUAUCUUUUACUCUUUAUGAAUGUCAUCUUCUGGAUUUUUUUUAGCUUUUGAGAAGCUCAAGGACUGUAUAUCUUUGGUAAUUGUGAUAUUGUCUGGCAGUAAAGCAGUAUUAAAGCACAUUACCUCAGUAUAUUUGUAGCAGCUGCCUCAUACAGGACACUUAGGAAAUGGUUUAAUAUAUAUUUUUUGCAAAUAAAGUAAUAAAAUAUCUGCUGAA